GACGAACGCUGGCGGCGUGCUUAACACAUGCAAGUCGAACGAUGAAGCCGGAGCUUGCUCCGGUGGAUUAGUGGCGAACGGGUGAGUAACACGUGAGCAAUCUGCCCUUGACUCUGGGAUAACUGCGGGAAACUGUAGCUAAUACCGGAUACGACACCUUGGGGCAUCCCGGGGUGUGGAAAGAAUUUCGGUCAAGGAUGAGCUCGCGGCCUAUCAGCUAGUUGGUGAGGUAAUGGCUCACCAAGGCGAAGACGGGUAGCCGGCCGGAGAGGGUGACCGGCCACACUGGAACUGAGACACGGUCCAGACUCCUACGGGAGGCAGCAGUGGGGAAUACUGCACAAUGGGCGAAAGCCUGAUGCAGCAACGCCGCGUGAGGGAUGAAGGCCUUCGGGUUGUAAACCUCUUUUAGCAGGGAAGAAGCGAAAGUGACGGUACCUGCAGAAAAAGCACCGGCUAACUACGUGCCAGCCGCCGCGGUAA
rnacentral:rRNA from 1 species